rnacentral:rRNA from 1 species
GCUUGCUUCUCUGUCGGCGAGUGGCGAACGGGUGAGUAUAGCAUCGGAACGUGCCAAGUAGUGGGGGAUAACCAAACGAAAGUUUGGCUAAUACCGCGUAAGCUCCAAGGAGGAAAGUAGGGGACCUAAAUAAGGCCUUACGCUAUUUGAUCGGCCGAUGUCGGAUUAGCUAGUUGGUGGGGUAAUGGCUCACCAAGGCAAUGAUCCGUAGCGGGUCUGAGAGGACGAUCCGCCACACUGGGACUGAGACACGGCCCAGACUCCUACGGGAGGCAGCAGUGGGGAAUUUUGGACAAUGGGGGAAACCCUGAUCCAGCCAUGCCGCGUGUAUGAAGAAGGCCUUAGGGUUGUAAAGUACUUUUGUUAGGGAAGAAAAGCUAGUUUUUAAUAAAAAUUAGUGAUGACGGUACCUAAAGAAUAAGCACCGGCUAACUACGUGCCAGCAGCCGCGGUAAUACGUAGGGUGCAAGCGUUAAUCGGAAUUAUUGGGCGUAAAGCGAGUGCAGACGGUUACUUAAGCCAGAUGUGAAAUCCCCAAGCUUAACUUGGGACGUGCAUUUGGAACUGGGUGACUAGAGUGUGUCAGAGGGAGGUAGAAUUCCACAUGUAGCGGUGGAAUGCGUAGGGAUGUGGAGGAAUACCGAUGGCGAAGGCAGCCUCCUGGGAUAACACUGACGUUGAGGCUCGAAAG